rnacentral:rRNA from 1 species
UAAGUCCCGCAACGAGCGCAACCCUCGCCCUUAGUUGCCAUCAUUGAGUUGGGCACUCUAGGGGGACUGCCGGUGAUAAGCCGAGAGGAAGGUGGGGAUGACGUCAAGUCCUCAUGGCCCUUACGGGCUGGGCUACACACGUGCUACAAUGGCGGUGACAGUGGGCAGCGAACCCGCGAGGGGGAGCUAAUCUCCAAAAGCCGUCUCAGUUCGGAUUGUUCUCUGCAACUCGAGAGCAUGAAGUUGGAAUCGCUAGUAAUCGCGUAACAGCAUGACGCGGUGAAUACGUUCCCGGGCCUC